CGGGGGUCGGGGCCAAGUGCGCGCCUCGCCGAGGACGAAGAGGCUGGCGUGCCCGGUGGCUCGGCUAGCUCCCGGGUCCCGGCCCCGCCUGGAGGGUGGCCAUCAUCGAAUCCACUGAGGGCGCAAAUAGAACAAAAAGGUGAAGAAAAGGUGAAUUCUCUCCUUUCUUGAGCUGGGACAUCCAACUUCUCAGACAUCAGAGCUCCUGGAGGCCUUCAGACUCCGAGACAUUACACCAUUGGCUCACCUGGUCCUCAGGUCUUUGGACUUGGAAUGAAUUACACCAUUGGCUUUCCAGGUCUUCCAGCUUGCAGAUGGCAGAUUGUGGGACUUUUCAGCCUCCAUAACUUUGUCAUCCAAUUCCCAUAAUAAAUCGCCUCUUAUAUCUGUA
rnacentral:lncRNA from 10 species